UCAGCCACCAUUUGCUCACUCAGUGCACGGUGCGGACGGGAGCUCCCUGUGGGGACUCCGCAGGACCCCCCCAGUGUGAUGUUGGGAAAACCGGAGCCCCGGCGGUGUCGGGUGGUGUGUUGGACUGCAAUAGGGGCACCUGCAGAGCGCGUCCGGCCCCGCGUGGGGACCCCAGCGAGGGCAGGGGCGCCGAGCUCCAGCCCUUAGGGCUUUAUUAUUGCCCGGCACCCCGAGCCCCGCGGCUGUGAGGAAAGGAGGGGAGCGGGGAAUGGAGAACGAGAAUAGGGGAGCGGAGGAGUAGGUUACACCAGGUUUUCAGCUACAUGAAUGGUAUCAUCUAUACCCACUGCUCGUUAUUCACCCAACCAAAAUCAAGAGCGAAUGUUGGCUGGGUUUAAUAACAACUCAAAAUAACU